CUGCCUGUUCAGAAAUAGUGUUGUGGAAAAGGGUGAUGAUGCUGCUAUGGUUUAUGGUCUGAUGCUGCUAUGGUUUAUGGUCUGAUGCUGCUAUGGCUUAUGGUCUGAUGCUGCUAUGGUUUAUGGUCUGAUGCUGCUAUGGUUUAUGGUCUGAUGCUGCUAUGGUUUAUGGUCUGAUGCUGCUAUGGUUUAUGGUCUGAUGCUGCUAUGGUUUAUGGUCUGAUGCUGCUAUGGUUUAUGGUCUGAUGCUGCUAUGGUUUAUGGUCUGAUGCUGUUAUGGCUUAUGGUCUGAUGCUGCUAUGGCUUAUGGUCUGAUGCUGCUAUGGUUUAUGGUCUGAUGCUGCUAUGGUUUAUGGUCUGAUGCUGCUAUGGCUUAUGGUCUGAUGCUGCUAUGGCUUAUGGUCUGAUGCUGCUAUGGCUUAUGGUCUGAUGCUGCUAUGGUUUGUGGUCUGAUGCUGCUAUGGCUUAUGGUCUGAUGCUGCUAUGGUUUAUGGUCUGAUGCUGCUAUGGUUUAUGGUCUGAUGCUGCUAUGGUUUAUGGUCUGAUGCUGCUAUGGCUUAUGGUCUGAUGCUGCUAUGGUUUAUGGUCUGAUGCUGCUAUGGCUUAUGGUCUGAUGCUGCUAUGGCUUAUGGUCUGAUGCUGCUAUGGCUUAUGGUCUAAUAUGAUUUGUUUACAGUAUACACACAUGAAUUAACAACAUGAUGCGGUGACGCGAGGUGAUUAAAGCAUAAUUAUAUUACUCAAUGAAAAAUAUUACAAUGAAUUAAAUAAAACAGAGAAGUGAGGUCAAGUACUGGCCCGAGGCAUCAGGAAAGAUAUGAUGACGAUGACUAAGGAGAGAGAGAGAGGGAUGGAGAGGAGGAGAACGACAGGCAGAGAGAGAGACGAGGGCCACAGGAACCAGAGACAUUUUGGGCCAGUUCUGGGCCCUUCGACUGGAGGACCCUGACCGUCUCCUCUGACACUGGGCCGACAGAUCACUAACGGUCUGACCUGUGAC
rnacentral:lncRNA from 1 species